ACAAAACUCGUUAAACUAGUUUUCUGUUCCGUUAAAGUUUUGUUUUUAUCAACCCCAGUAACAUCAAUGUUGAGGUCACUAGUUAAGUGGUUGUAAAGCGCAUCGAACUCGGUUUGCGUUUGGAUUCCGUUGAUGAUGUUCUUUAAGUUAUCCAUCGAACCAAAGCUAAACA
rnacentral:sRNA from 1 species